UAGCCUAGUGGUUAAGGCUAUGGAUCGCCAAUCCGGAGGCGGCGGGCUCGAUUCCCGU
rfam:Aedes albopictus isolate Foshan contig85864, whole genome shotgun sequence.